rnacentral:rRNA from 1 species
UGGGGAAUAUUGCACAAUGGGCGAAAGCCUGAUGCAGCAACGCCGCGUGAGUGAUGAAGGUCUUCGGAUUGUAAAGCUCUGUCUUUUGGGACGAUAAUGACGGUACCAAAGGAGGAAGCCACGGCUAACUACGUGCCAGCAGCCGCGGUAAUACGUAGGUGGCGAGCGUUGUCCGGAUUUACUGGGCGUAAAGGGUGCGUAGGCGGAUGUUUAAGUGAGAUGUGAAAUACCCGGGCUUAACUUGGGUGCUGCAUUUCAAACUGGAUAUCUAGAGUGCAGGAGAGGAGAAUGGAAUUCCUAGUGUAGCGGUGAAAUGCGUAGAGAUUAGGAAGAACACCAGUGGCGAAGGCGAUUCUCUGGACUGUAACUGACGCUGAGGCACGAAAGCGUGGGUAGCAAACAGGAUUAGAUACCCUGGUAGUCCACGCCGUAAACGAUGAGUACUAGGUGUAGGAGGUAUCGACCCCUUCUGUGCCGCAGUAAACACAUUAAGUACUCCGCCUGGGAAGUACGAUCGCAAGAUUAAAACUCAAAGU